ensembl:lncRNA novel transcript
GACAACUCGCGGGGAUUGUUUUCCACACCGUGGAAGCUUUGUUCUUUUCGUUUUUUGCAAUAAAUCUUGUUGCUGCUCGCUUUUUGGGUCCACAUUGCUUUUAUGAGCUGUACCACUCACCGUGAAGAUCUGCAGCUUCACUUCAGAGCCUAGCGAGACCACAAGCUCACUGAGAGGAACAAACAACUCCAGACGCGCUGUCUUAAGAGCUAUAACACUCACCGCGAAGGUGUGCAGUUUCACUCCUGAGCUAGUGAGACUACGAAGCCACUGGAACGAAGAAACUCCAACCACGUUUGAACAUCAGAAGGGGCAGACUCCAGACGCUUCAUCUUAAGAGCUGUAACACUCACUGUGAAGGUCUGCAGCUUCACUCCUGAGCCAGCGAGACCACGAACCGAUCUGAACAUCAGAAGGGACAGACUCCAGAUGCCCCACCUUAAGAGCUGUAAUACUCACUGCAAGGGUCUGCAGCUUCAUUCUUGAAGUCAGACCAAGAACCCAGCAAUUCCCAACACACAGGGACCAGCUUCUUUCCUAACUCACUUAGGCUCUUCGUGCUGCUCUGGCAACUAACACCCUUGGCUGCAGGGGCUUGGACACUACCCUUAGUCACUGACAAUUGUGUGAAGGCUGCUGUCGUUAACUUCACUUGAUCACCUUAGGCUCCUGUGAAGUGGUGAGCAAUUCAAACAAAUUCCUGUCGUCAAAUCAUAUAAGAUCAAUCAGAUUCGUGUUUUGCAACUACUUCUUGGCAAGACGUACGGGACUGACCGCAGUUGACACAUGCCAAUAGGGGGAGAAAUCUGAAGACGUGUUUCUGUGCAGUGGUGGCACCCAGGGGCUCUGGCCAGAGGAGGUCACAGGAAGAUGCCUAGCGGCCCGUGGAGCGACCUGCCCCGCAUUGUCACUUGACCGCUGGUGUGCGAAGGGGAUAACACUGUGUUCAAUGUGUUUGUAACCUUGCAUGAAAAAAUUGAAGAAAUGUCACUUUCUUCUCACCCUCUCCCAGGCCAAUCAUCUGUCAUGAAUUCAAUAUGAGGCAAACGUCUGGUGAUCACAGGGACAAACUAGGGAUAGGCCUUUGGGAGAGGAAUCUACUCAGUUUGUGUUCAACCGGACUAUCCAGGUAGGGGAGCUGGCUGGAGAGGGAGCCAGCAUUUGUUGACUGUAAUCUCUGAGCUAGGGUCGCAAUUACAUCUUCUGCAUCUUUGUGUGCAUAGUACCAAGCACAGAAUUAUCCAGAGUAGACACUCAAUAAUUGUUUGUUGGAAGAGUCAUUGUUGCUUUUGCUUCCAAGCCCCUCACAAAUUUCCACACAGUGCAGUUGAGCUCGCACAGUCAAUGAACAGUUUAUAUCUGAUUAAUAGGGGCUGAUAGUCUGAGGUGGCCUGCCUUCUUGCAGAGAAAGUUUGGGGUGGGUUACUGAGACAGGCUGGAUUCAUGGGGUGAGUUGGCUCAUGACCCAACAUAGCCAGGAAGCAAAGCGGAUAUUCCUCUGAAUUUUGCAGGCCAGGUGUGGCAUGUGUCUGAAAUUUCAGCUGCUUUAUCUUUAUACCCAUCAUUUUGGUAAGACUAUGUGUCCAAUCUGAAAUUCACCAACAGGACAGGGCCAGCUGCCAGAACUGAAGUCCCAAGAAGAAAACCAAGCAAAGCUGAGACACAAACCUGAACUUUUGAACUUGUCAAUCUACUGAGUCAACUAACUCUGGGACUCCCAUGUCUGGACUUCUUCAUGUGUGUUAACCUAUCUUCCUUGUUGCUUUUGCCACAAGGUGUUCUGGUUCUUGUAACCAAACGCAUCCCAUCUGACUCACUGGGCACCUGACUCCAGUUGUGUAAAACAGGCCCAGAUAGCUUGCCUUUGCCUCCGUUGGCGUGUGGUGGACAAUUGUAAAUUUCCUUGUAAGGUAUAUUAGUCCGUUCUCACGCUGUUAUAAAGAACUGCUCAAGACUGGGUCAUUUAUAAAGGAAAGAGGUUUAAUUGACUCACAGUUCUGCACGGCUGGGGAGGCCUCAGGAAACUUACAAACAUGGCAGAAGGGAAAGGAGAAGCAGGCGCCUUCUUCAUAGGGUGGCAGGACAGAGUGAGAGCAAGCAGGGGAAAAUGCCAGAUGCUUAUAAAACCAUCAGAUCUCAUGAGAACUCACUAUCAUGAGGACAGCAUGGUGGUAAUCACUCCCAUGAUUCAAUUACCUCCCACAGGGUCCCUCCAACGACAUGUCGGGAUUAUGAGAACUACAAUUCAAGAUGAGAUUUGGGUGGGGACACAACCAAACGAUAUCAUAAGAAUCCUGAUUUUGUUUGGAAGGACAGCGUGCCUGGUUCCAGAUGGAGAAAUUGCACUGCAGAGAAAUCUUUAAAAGCAAUUACCUAAUACUGCAGAUUGCUGAACUGUACCCACACCCAAGACUGAGCAUUGGAUCAAUCCAGAAUAUACAUCAGGUGUUCUGCAAUGUCUGCCUAAAACCAUGACUCUGCCUCCUCCAGCUGUUGCUACAUCUCACUAUGGGUUUCCUGUGACAUUUUGAGCAAGUAUGCCUCUGUGACUGGGGUUCUUACACUCCAGAAUGGAUGAGAAGCACCCCUCCUGUGGAGCCGGCCGUGGAAACGCCCUGACAUGGAGUCAGAAGCCCGAGCCCGUGUUUCAGACUUGGCGUUCAUUGACCAGAAGAGCUGCUUCACCACUUAACCAUGCAGCUUCAAGGGCUCCAUCUGCAAAACGCAGGCUUGAACCACAGGACUGGUUAUGCUCCUUCUUGUUCUGUGUCCUCUAAAUCCACCCCGUGGGAUGGUUCUCAUCCUCAUUUCUAGGAAAACAAGGCCCAGGUGGAAUCUCUUUUCUCAUCUGCAGGACUGAUGCCUUUCUUGGCCUAAAUUUCAACAACAUGUGACUAUAAAACUUACCUGUGUGUGAACCCUACAGAUAUUUGCGGGGGUGUUGUGUGGGGAGAUGACCCCAUGGUGGGCCCCUAGCGCCGGCCUCUUGCUAUCAUGCUGAGCACGCCCACCUUGCCGCAGCCUAGGAUCUCCCUUUCCCACCGGCACUCUCUUGCCUGGAGUGUGGAUCCACUGUGGCUUUCCCUCGCCCCAUCCUCCAGCUUGGUGGGUAGUAAUAUCUUCUGUCCCUCUUUAGACUCGGGGGCCUAACUGGAAAACAGGUGCAUUGGUAGAUUUAGUAGCAGAGGAGUCCAAGAGUUCUAGUGCUCUACAUGGGCAUGAGACCAAAGCCCAUAAAUACAUGUUCGCGGGGUGCCUACUGUAUACCCAAUGCUGUAAGGUAGUGUCCCCAAAGCAUACUGCUGCAGAACACUAGUUUUGUGGGGUGUUCAACGAUAUUACCUGGAGAAAAGAGUCCAGAAUCUAACAAGUUUGGGAAACUCUGGAUUAAAUAAGGUUAACUAUGUUUCUUUUAGGUAGUCCUUCUCAGAGACUUAAGAUGAGAGCAUGCAUUGGGAACUUCCAAAAUGGGAGAUGCAGUGGGAGGCACUCCCAUAGUUAGGUAACCAGGCAGCCCCUUUUUACUUAUUUUAUUUUAUUUUUUUGAGAUGGAGUCUUACUAUGUUACCCAGGCUGGACUCAAACUUCUGAGCUCAAGCAGUUAUCCCACCUCAGCCUUAUCCCACCUCAGCCUCCUAAGUAGCUGGGACUACAGGCACGAGCCACCACACCUGGCUUUUUUAAAAACAAAGGACCAUAUUUUGGAAACACAUAGGCCCUGUAGCACACAGACCCAUGGGAUCUCCUGGCCACCUGGCCCAGCCCAUCUUCCGCAGAUAUGAAUCCUGGACCUGAGGGAGAAGCGAAGCAACUUGCCCCAGGGCCCCACGGCUAACACUGUAGGCCACGCUUCCCAUUUCUCAGCUGAAAUAA